CUUGAACUCAGGUGAUCCACCUGCCUCAGUCUCCCAAAGUGCUGGGAUUACAGUCAUGAGCCGCCACACCUGGCCAAAUUAUUUUUUUUUGUAUGGUGUUAUGGUCAGAAUAUUUGUGUCCCCUCAAAACUCAUAUGUUGAAAUUCAAAUCCCUAAGUUAAUGGUAUUAGCUAGAGGGGCCUUUGGAAGGGGAUAAGGUCAUGAGUGUGGAACCCUCAUGAAUGGGAUUAGUGCCCUUAUGAAAGACACCCAAAGGAGCUUGUUCACUUCUUCCACCAUGUGAAGAUACAGUGAAAAGACAGCCAUCUAUGAACCAGAGAGUGGACCCCCACCAGACACCAAGUUUGCCAGCACCUUGAUCUUGGACUUCCCAGCCUCCCAAACUGUAAGAAAUACAUUUAUGUUGUUCAUAAGCCAAUAAAUAAAUAGAUUAUUAAAAAUUUAAAAAUUAGCCAGGCAUAGUGGUGCAUGCUUGUAGCUCUGACUACUCUGGAAGCUGAAUCAGGAGGCUCACUUGAGCCCAGGAGUUCAAGACUUCAGUGAGCCAUGAUCAUACUACCACACUCCAGCCUAGGCAAUAGAGUGAGAUCCUGUCUCAAAAGACAAAAAACAGUAAGUGAAGCAAACAAACAAGAAAAAAUCCAAGCAAUUUAUAGUGAAAUUCUCCUUGAAAGAAAGCCUUUUGGCUGGGCGCGGUGGCUCACACCUGUAAUCCCAGCACUUUGGGAGGCUAUGGUGGGAGGAUCACCUGAGGUCCAGGAGUUCGAGACCAGCCUGGCCAACAUGGUGAAACGCUGUCUCUACUAAAAAUACAAAAAAAUUAGCUGGGCGUGGUGGCGGGUGCCUGUAAUCCCAGCUACUCGGGAGGGUGAGGCAGGAGAAUCACUUCAACCUGAGAGCCGGAGGUUGCAGUGAGCCAAGAAUGCAUCAUUGUGCUCCAGCCUGGGUGACAAGAGUGAAACUCUGUCUCAAAAAAAAGAAAAAAAAAAUAGAGAAAGAAACCCUUUUGUCCACCCCAAACCCCUAGUCUUCUUCCCCAGUGACGAGCUGUCUCACCAACUUCCAUAGACUACAGUCUUUACUGUUUACCUAAUAUGCCCCUGUCGGAAUAUCAUACAGCCAUUAACACUUGUGUUUUCCAGUUUUUUUUUUUUUUAGAGAGCUGGGGUCUCACUCUGUUGCCUAGGCUGGAGUGCCACGGCACACUUAUCAAACUCCUGGGCUCAAAUGAUCUUCCCACGUCAGCCUCCUGAGUAGUUGAGACUACAGACCCUCACCACCAUGCCUGGCCAAUUUUUAAAAUUUGUAGAGAUGGAGUCUCAGUAUGUUGCCCAGGCUGGUCUCAAACUCCUGGGUCAAGCAAUAAUCUUACCUCAGCCUCCCAAAGUGUUGGGAUUACAGGCAUGAGCCACUGCGCCUGGCAAUUUGUAUUUUUAAAGUUUAUGUAACAAUAAAGAUCCCUCUAUUGUGAUUAUCCAGAUUUGUAACAUUCAGUAAAAGUUUUUUUGAUAGCAGCUUUAUUUUUAUUUUAUUUUAUUUUGAGACAGAGUCUUCCUUCGUAGCCCAGGCUGGAGUGCAGUGGCUCAAUCUUGGCUUACUGCAAUCUCCGCUUCCCAGGUUCAAGUGAUUCUCCUGCCUCAGCCUCCCGAGUACCUGGGAUUACAGGUGCUCAACACCACACCCGGCUAAUUUUUGUAUUUUUUAAUUAGAGAUGGGGUUUUACCAUAUUG
rnacentral:lncRNA from 10 species